AAUGGGGGAAACCCUGACGCAGCGAUGCCGCGUGAGUGAAGAAGGCCCUAGGGUUGUAAAACUCUUUCACCGGUGAAGAUAAUGACGGUAGCCGGAGAAGAAGCCCCGGCUAACUCCGUGCCAGCAGCCGCGGUAAUACGGAGGGGGCUAACGUUGUUCGGAAUUACUGGGCGUAAAGCGCGCGUAGGCGGAUUAGACAGUUGAGGGUGAAAUCCCGGAGCUUAACUCCGGAACUGCCUUCAAUACUACUAAUCUUGAGUUCGGAAGAGGUGAGUGGAAUUCCUAGUGUAGAGGUGAAAUUCGUAGAUAUUAGGAAGAACAUCAGUGGCGAAGGCGACUCACUGGUCCGAUACUGACGCUGAGGUGCGAAAGCGUGGGGAGCAAACAGGAUU
rnacentral:rRNA from 1 species